GUUUCAGAGAUGCACCAGGACAUUCAGCAACAAUUCAGCCUGGACAGAUAGUAAUAUCUGAUACUGAUGAUAUGGAUCCACCUGAAACAAAUCCAGACAAGACUUCUUGCUACAGUAAAUACACAGACCUGUAUGCACCAGGUGUGGAGGAAGAGGAGGAGGAGCUGGUUGCAGUCAAUGUGGAGAAUUUCCAACACACAGCAGUGUAAAAUGAGCUUUUGACAGUGGCAUUCUAGUGUUUUCAUUGUGCAGUAUUUCUGGCAUUUAAAUAAUUUUUGUAAAAGUGGCAAAUUGUGCACUGUCUGAAAUAUCUAUUAAUUAGAUCACUU